rnacentral:rRNA from 1 species
UACGUAGGGUGCAAGCGUUGUCCGGAAUUAUUGGGCGUAAAGAGCUCGUAGGCGGUCUGUCGCGUCGGCUGUGAAAACCCAGGGCUCAACCCCGGGCCUGCAGUCGAUACGGGCAGACUAGAGCGCGGUAGGGGAGACUGGAAUUCCUGGUGUAGCGGUGAAAUGCGCAGAUAUCAGGAGGAACACCGGUGGCGAAGGCGGGUCUCUGGGCCGUAACUGACGCUGAGGAGCGAAAGCGUGGGGAGCGAACAGG